CCGAGUUCAAUUUGUGUGCUUCCUGGGGC
rnacentral:piRNA from 1 species